UGAAGACUUUCUACACUGUGUUGGUACUGACACUGACAGGUAAGGGGUCUCAGACACACACACACACACACACACACACACACACACACACACACACACACACACACACACACACACACACACACACACACACACACACACACAAUAUUUAAUUCACACAUAUAUACAAAUGACUGAAUCAUUCAGUCAAUUAAAUCCAUAACGGAUGAGCCGGCAAAUGUCGAUUUGACACAAAAAUAAGAAUAAAGUCAUUCACACACAUGCACACACACAAAGUCACAAUUUCAGUGUGAUCAUUGUACAACAUAUAGGGCAAAUUGUUAGCCACUCACAUGAGUCAAACAACAUUAUUCAGAUACAGCUCAUCAGGUUGUAUGAUGCCCUUAAAGUGGCAGUCAGCAGCUGCUACACCAUUUUUGGACUUGAAUGUAAAUGAAUGAAUGAUAUGUACCCAUUGAUUCUUGAAGAAUAUAACUUUAAAAUGCUUCAUGAGCUUAGUUCAGCUGUCGUUCCCCAUCAGAACCGCACAAAUAAGCUUGUUUUAAUCCAAUGUUUAAAAAAAAAAAUGCAAAUGCAAACAAACUGUAUAGCCUCACAACAUGGUCACAACUAUAAUUUCGAUAUCUUGNNNNNNNNNNUGAAGACUUUCUACACUGUGUUGGUACUGACACUGACAGGAGGCCUUGAUCCUACCAGUGUCUCAGCAGCAUCUCCUAAUCCUCGCUCAGUGUCCGUGAGGCCCAGCCCACAGCUCUCUCUCCCCAUUCUCAACCAGUCCUUCAGCCUGGACUGUAGCGGCUCCUUCCCAGGCCUGCCAGUGCUUUGGUACAAAGACGGCCAGGUUGUAGCUCCAGACGCCAGGAUAAACCUGUUGGAACACAACACCUCCCUCCACUUCAACUCCCUGCUGCCCUCUGAUGGUGGCUUCUAUCAGUGCGAGGUGACCAUGGCAAACAUGGCUGAAAGCAAGGUCAUAAGCUUGGGCUACCUGCUAAACUUUGAUCAUUGGAGUGUUAGUAUCAGUGGCCCUGACACAGUGUUGCCUGGGAGGGAAUACACCUUUACCUGCCAGGUGAACUGCACUGUCGACCUGGACUGCUCCAUCCGCUGGCCAUUGAGGGGGGGUAUCCUUACUAGCGCCUACUUCUCCGUGAGGAAGAAUAUCCUGAAAUGGAUCCCGUCGGUACCUGGUACAGUCCAGAACUUCACCUGUGUGGUGGAGAACACAGCAGCUGGACGCUCUGCAGAGGCCUCCAAGACAGUGAAGGUCACAGAUCGUAAAGAAAUGACUCUCUAGACAAACCCAGGAUGGAGACUGAUUACUCUUUGGCAGAUUUAAUGGUGAACUGACCACAUUCAUUCAGCCAUGCAUAAAGGUAGAUAAUCAAUUACUAUCAUAAUU
rnacentral:lncRNA from 13 species